ensembl:lncRNA
UCUGGACAAGAUCUUUUAUUUCAAUGUAUACAUAAAAUCUUCAGAGCAGUUAACAUCCUUGAAACUUUUGGAUAAAACAUUUAUAUUUUCUACUGCCAUUAAUGGCAGUAAAUCCCGAAUAACGUGUCUCAGAGGUAAAUAGAGAAAACAAGUUCACUUUUAUCUAUGAGAUAUUUUAAUCAAAGAAGAUUAUUUGUUAGCAAUAAAGUUUUUAGUAUUAUAAUGAAACAAAAAAUUAUAAUUGAUAUUUUUAAAAAGUAUUUAUAAAAUUCAAAGUGAUAUUACUUCCUGGACAUUCUUUAAUUUUUCACUUCUUGUCAUACCUACCUAUGUGAUUAUUCUCCACUUUACACAAAGAUAAGACCAGCAAGUAUCUCCAAUUGCAACAGUCGGAUUAAUGUUUCACAUGCUAAAAAUGUUAGUUAUCUCUAAUAGCUAUUUCCACCAUGUCUUAGAUAAGUGUUUAUGAGGAAAAUAACACUUAGCUAAGAUCAUUUUUCAUGAUAAGCAAUUACUUCAUGUAUAUGUGUAUAUUUUACAUAUAUAUGCAAUUAUAUAUAUGCAGUUACACAGAGACAUACACAUAAACACAUAAGACACACAGACACACACAUACAUGCGUGUGUGUGUGUGUGUGUGUAUCCUUUUCCCAUGACGUUUUUCACCUAACAUGCUGGACUAAAAGAGCCGUGGCUUUAGCUUCAGUACCAUUGUAACCAUUACCAGCUUUGAGAAUACGCUGUAUUUAUUUCCAAAUAUCAAAACAUAUUUAUCUUUUGGUAAAAUUGAGCAACAUCUAGACAUGUUUUCUCUUCUUUCCUAUAAUAUAUUCCCUAGUACCUAAAAAUUACCACUCAGAGGAAAUAAUAAACCUGAUCACAGGCAUAUGGAAGACAUGGAGAAAGCCCAAGUGCCCUGAUACUAGCUGGAAGAGCCGCAGAGUCAUCCCUGAGCACUUGUUUGAAAUGCACCACUUCAGACCCCUCACCCCCAAAGACUGACAAAAAUCCAAAUUUGCAUUUUAACAAGAUUUCCAUUUCAUUUAUUUGCAGGCAUCUCUGCAGUUAUUUGCAGGUAGUCUCCUUUUCCCUCCAGUUGCUGCAGCCAGAUAGAUACUUGAUAUUAGAAGAUAGGAAGCUAUAUUAAAAUAUAGAGACUCUACGGUUAGGGCAGAAUUCUUAGGGCAGUAUUAGUCUCAAUUUUUCUUUCUUCACCUAAAGAUUAGCAGCAGAAAUUUAGUGGGGAUACUUUAAAAAUAUUAAAUCAUGAGUUAUAAAGCCAAUUAAUACCUGUAUUGGAGGAGUCACACCUCCAGUAUUUCAUGAACAUAAAAUAUUCAGAAAAAAAACUCAAUAGUAAAAAAAUAUUUUGAGGGGUGUUUCACAAACUGUGUUUCAUGAAUCAACAGGUUCAUAAUGUAUUGCUCUUCAGAUUCCUUGAGGAUUUCAGGUCCAAACAAUUUUAGUAAACAGCACAAUAUAUGCUCCUCUUGGAGUUUUGCAGUGCAUUCUCUGAAAUCCUACAGUUUAAAAAUCUGUGUUGUAUUUCAUUUCACAUCUCCUAAAUGUAUUUAAACUUAGAACCAUCUUUUUUUUUUUUUUUUUUUUUUUUGAGAAAGAGUUUCGCUCUUGUUGCCCAGGCUGGAGUGCAAUGCCAUCUCUUUU